UUUAAAAACAUUCAGCAUUCCUGAGUAGAAAGUAGCAGCACUUGAUCUUCAACAAGUCACUCUGCUACUGUAGCUCAUUUAAGAUUAUAAAUGGCUGCUAAACUGAAAACAUAGGAAUGGGGGGAAAAAAUGGGAAAGGUGGCAUAAAGGCUUUGAAGACAUGAACAAAAGUGGUUUUGAUUAAUAUCACUUUCCUCCUCUGUCAUCACACAUGGCUUUCUAGUUUUCAGAUCCCAUUUCAUGAGAAGACAAAAAUGCACACUAAAACCAAAUCUGUUUGAAGACUGCUUUUGCCAUAAAUCAAAUUGCAGCACAGCUUCUAGUAUAUUACUAAUUUCUGUUUGAGUUAUCUGCUGAAAGACAAAGCCCAUUCAGACACAUCAGCUAGCUCGUUUGCACUACAUAGUUAAAAAUGUCCUUCUGUUUGCUUAAAGGAAAAAAAGUACAAACAUCACAAUCAUUCCCUUUUCUUUGGUCUCAUUACAACUUUCAUUAAUGCUGUUUUUAUGAAUGAUGCUCUUCUGAAAACUACCCAACUUUAAAGUUACUACUGGCCAGGAGCAGAAUUUGUCUACAUAAACUUUCUCUACAGAGUUGUUAAACAGUAAUUUCUGAGUUACUCAAAGCACUAAAAAAAGAAGAGAAGGAGACAGUCCGUCAGUUUGGGAAACAGCUUCAGUCUAUUAAUGACCUUAUGUUAAAACAAAACCUCUCUUUCAAGUGAACCAUAAUAUAAACCACACAAAUUAGUACUGUUAAGCAAGAGCUGUGUCCUGAGGAAAAACAAGCUUGGCAUUUAGUGCUGAGGACCAGCAAAGGCAAAUGGACCCGCUCCACUUCCACUGAAAUCAGUGAACUCAAGUUCAAUGCCCAGACCUUCAGCAGAUGCAGGGUGACACAGGACUCCCAUGGGAUCACAGCCACUAUGCAAACAGCAUAGGGGAACAGCAAAUAAGCCCUACGCCUUCAGUACUUCUAUAUUUACCACAAUAUUUUUGGAUACUGGACAAAACCUAAGUUUUAAAAGGCUUUUCCACUGUCAUUUGUAAAUUUCUAUCACUAUUUGGUCUGCUAUGAUGGGAACAAUAUCUCAUUGAUCGCUGCAGAUGCUGUCAGAAAAGGUUGCUUUCUGCUCAAAAAUCCUUGAAAAGCAAGACUAUACAGUAUUUUCUUAAACACUCACUUCUUCCACCUCUUAAGGCCAAUGUAAUGCCCAUGCUCACAGAUCGUCCCCACUGCAUUCUCUCAAGGGGUACUUUUCUCUUUGCUGGUAGUCACGCUAAUACCUUGCACAGUAUUAGUCCUCUCUAUUCCUUUUCUUAAUUGGACUCAAGUUGCUUUUAGUUCAGAUUUUCCAUCCUAAAGAAGAGCUGUUAGUUUGCUUCCAUCACCCUUAGAUCCAUACUCUUAUUAAAGAAAAUGCACUGCUAAAGUACAGCAAUAGAUAUUUCACCACAUUUAUUAUACUGGUUUCUUUGUAAACUUUCUACAGUUGUUCUGCUGGAUUUUUUUCCCCCCGUAGAUCAUCCUCUCUUUCUCACCACUUGAUUUGCCUCAGUCUUACCUUCCUCCUUCCCAUCUGAACACCAGACAGAGGACAGUUUUUAUUGCCCACUUGUGUCUUUCCAUAGGCCACAAACACACCUUUAACACCCUAGUAAUUUUACCAAAGGUUUAUUAAUUCCACUGCAAGCCAUUGAACACUUUUUUGUUGGUGGUGGCAUUUUUGUUUGGUUGGGUUUUUUUGAGAAUAAAAAAAAAAAAAACAACAACUAAACACCACAACAAAGCCAAACAAACAGUAUUAGUCACCUACUUAAAAUCUAUAUGAAUUCUCAGUAUGUAUUUCCAACAAUAUUCCACCUCUUAGAGCUACAGAAUUUCAAAUAUGAGGUCUGUUUUCUUGUUUAGAAUGAACAUUGGUGUCUCCCAACUAUCCUUCCACUUAAACAUCAAGUUUAACACUCCUUUACUGGACAAGAUGUUUUUCCUGCAAGCAGAGAGGAAGGGGAGAGACUCAGAGUUCCCGCACUCUUCUCCGCUCCUUUCUUUUCCCUACUCCCUUGGAAACUUUUCAGGCUGAAACACAACCACAUGAUUUAAAGAAAAACAUCAAGCUGGGAAAACACAUGCAGAUGUUUUUUCUUGCAAUGAGAAGCUUUUACCAGGGCACACCAGUAAUAACAAGAUGGCCGGAUGAGGCAACGUGUCUGAAAAGCUCGGCUGUCAGCUUGUUACAUUAGCCGUAUGUAACACCCCAUCCACUCCCAGGACCGCAUGAAAUUGCAGAAGUUCAAUGGAGAAAGCUACAGGGCAAGCAAGAUGAGAGAAAAAAACCCAACAACAACAAACCCUCCAAAAAACACACACAAAACCGCACCCAAACCCCCUGUGUUCAGCAGUUCUCAUUUUGUUUCUUACGGAGUCCUGGAAGUUUGUUCAGAGCUAAAACCCCACCACUGAUUAAAGGCAGAACAGGAAGGAUUAAACCAUUAUCAUAUCUUUAAAUGCCGGGGAAGACUGGUAUGUGCCCCGUGGAAAAUCACAACAGGUGCCACCCCGGCCCAAUUUCAACAACCCCUGCAACUGGAGGGGCUAGUUCCUGCACUAGCAACCAGCCUUUCAACUGGAAAGGCUCCGGCUAAAUUAGCUGUAAAGCAUCUUAAUUAAAACGAGUAUGGUGGUUUUGGCUCACUCA